GAUGAACGCUGGCGGCGUGCCUAAUACAUGCAAGUCGAGCGAACGGACGAGAAGCUUGCUUCUCUGAUGUUAGCGGCGGACGGGUGAGUAACACGUGGAUAACCUACCUAUAAGACUGGGAUAACUUCGGGAAACCGGAGCUAAUACCGGAUAAUAUUUUGAACCGCAUGGUUCAAAAGUGAAAGACGGUCUUGCUGUCACUUAUAGGUGGAUCCGCGCUGCAUUAGCUAGUUGGUAAGGUAACGGCUUACCAAGGCAACGAUGCAUAGCCGAUCUGAGAGGGUGAUCGGCCACACUGGAACUGAGACACGGUCCAGACUCCUACGGGAGGCAGCAGUAGGGAAUCUUCCGCAAUGGGCGAAAGCCUGACGGAGCAACGCCGAGUGAGUGAUGAAGGUCUUCGGAUCGUAAAACUCUGUUAUUAGGGAAGAACAUAUGUGUAAGUAACUGUGCACAUCUUGACGGUACCUAAUCAGAAAGCCACGGCUAACUACGUG
rnacentral:rRNA from 1 species